AGCUCCCAAAUUAGCCCCAAAUCUCCUCUAAUGUCUCCUGAGUCACUAUAGGGAUUCCUCUCCCAACACCUCACGCGCUCGCUCGCCGUCGGUUCCUCACACGCUCGCUCGCCGUCGGCUCCUCACGCCUUCGCUCGUCAUCGGCUACCCACGCCCUCGCUUGCCGUUGGCUACUCACGUACUCGCUCGCCGGCAAAAAUACCCACGCGCUCGCUCGCCAGCAAAUGUUCACACGCUCUCCAACGCUAUAGAAGGGCGAACUACUCCGACGCUUCACGAGCCGCUAUCAUAUACAUUUGACUGUGGUCCUCUAUCUCUCUCUUACUAUGUUUUUUUCUUUAUUUAUAUAGUUUUUCCACCACUAUAAGGUGAAAUUUCUGUAAUGGGUCCCGUUUGUAAGCUCUUUCUCUAUUUUUAUCUUCAUCUGCAGAAUAUUUUUAUUUUAUUAAUAUGAUAUUUGUGAUGGGUCCUAUUUGUAUGGA
rnacentral:lncRNA from 1 species